rnacentral:piRNA from 1 species
UGGCGUCUGAUUUACAACUUCUUGGUC